rnacentral:rRNA from 1 species
UAUUAAAAGUCCAUUGGAGAUUAUGGGGUCGUGUGACAAGCGGUCGGGCGCGUUUUGCAUCUGGUCAUCAUUGUAUGGUCAGGGCACGCAGUCCGUCGCCCCCGGGGGAGACCAACCGUGCACGGUGUGGUGCGAGGCACUUUGUGUGUUCCCGUCACCCACGCGCACGCCUCUUUCGGCUCGCGGCGCCCAGGAAUGAAGGAGGGUAGUUCGGGGGAGAACGUAUUGGUGCGUCAGAGGUGAAAUUCUUAGACCGCCUUAAGACGAACUACAGCGAAGGCAUUCUCCAAGGAUACCUUCCUCAAUCAAGAACCAAAGUGUGGAGAUCGAAGAU